rnacentral:rRNA from 1 species
UACGGAAGGGGCAAGCGUUGUUCGGAAUCAUUGGGCGUAAAGGGCGCGUAGGUGGUUCUGUAUGUCUAUCGUGAAAGCGUACGGCUCAACCGUAUUUUGUCGGUAGAAACUGCAGGACUUGAGGCUGGGAGGGGCUGGUGGAAUUCCCUGUGUAGCGGUGAAAUGCGUAGAGAUGGGGGAGAACACUCGUGGCGAAGGCGGCCAGCUAGACCAGUUCUGACACUGAGACGCGACAGCGUGGGGAGCAAACAGG